GUACCCGUUUUUAAGUACGGUUAAAUAACGACUUCAUUAUUAACCUAGUUUAAGUGAUAGCUUUUUUUUCCGUUAUGGGUACGGUCAGACGCAGAUCAAAAGGACAACCACAAGUGCAAUACGACCUCGAAUUGAAAGAAAAUUUGACUCUAUAAAGACUUCGUCAAAGUGCCAAAAAACGCAAAGAGGUUGACUUUAGUGAGAAUUCUCAAAAGUGUUGAAGACUUUUCUCGUAGUGACAAUAUAGCGGAAACAGCGGAUAAUAUUGCAGAUACAGCAGAUGAAGCGACAACUAUAUAUGGUGGUACGCGAUCCCAUGAUGAAACAGUUCGUAUUCAAGAGGAACACGUGGUUUCAACUUCCACUCCAUCAAAUGAGGGAAGAACUUUAAUAAACUUAGUGUCGAGACUAUCGUCCACCGUACAGUCUCUCCAGCAGAACGUAUCUUCUUUAAACGGGAAGGUGGACUCCCUAUUAGUGGUCCAACCAACUACUCGACAGGAAGAGGUAGCUGUUUCUACUUUCACUUCAACCGGAAGUCAUCGUGGUGAAGAUGUAAACAACUCGGGGAAUUCCCAUAACCUGGAGUCUGCAUACGCAUCCUUCAAUAGGAAUACUAUACCAGCAGCGGCAGCUGGAAGCGAAAACCAGGAAGCGAGAAGUGUACGAACGGCAAGGGGAUAUUCGGCGGAAACACUGCCAUUCGUGGAGACAAUUUCUCCCCAGCUGAGGAAGAACAUCAUUUCAGAUGGAGAAAUUUCGAAAGCUGGCACCAAAAGCAGAUCAAGAACCCACACCUUGCCUAGCACCAGCCCUUUUGAUGAUGGUCUAACUAAGCAAGUUGAGGAACUGUGGGAGGCAUUCUUAUGUAUAAGUACUAGAAAGACUUAUAAUUCUGGCUUUCUAUGUUUUAAAACAUUUAUGGCUAUGACUUAUCAGAAUCAUAUAAAUAGUGUGCCAAUAAUA